UCGAAGACAACCAGGAUGUUGGCUCAGAAGCAGCCAUUCAUUCAAAGAGUGCGUAAUAGCUCACUGGUCGAGUGGUCAUGCGCCGAAGAUGUACCGGGGCUCAAACGCGCCACCGAAGCAUGGGAUUCGCGCAAGCGAGUGGUAGAGGAGCAUUGAAUCAGGGCAGAAGCUGGAGCGAGAGCACGAGUGGACUUGAUUCAAGAGAGAAUGCCGGUAUGAGUAGCGAGAGGCAAGCGAGAAACUUGCCCGUCGAAAGCCUAAGGUUUCCUGGGGAAGGUUCAUCCGCCCAGGGUAAGUCGGGACCUAAGCCGAGGACGGAAGUCGUAGGCGAUGGACAGCAGGUUGAGAUUCCUGCACCGCCUUGAGAAUGAUGCAAUGACACAGAAGGAUAGCAUGAGCCGGGUGAUGGUCAACUCGGUUUCCAAAGCGAGGGCGUCUGGUAGUGAAGUACGCCAGACACACAGCCUGAGCCGAAGAGGGAGCGAAAUUCAAGUAGCGAAGCAUGCGAUUUCACGCUGGCGAGAAAAGUUGCUGGUAUAUCGAAGAGGCGCCCGUACCGCAAACCGACGCAGGUAGGCGAGGUGAGAAUCCUAAGACGAACGGGAGAACCCUUGUUAAGGAACUCGGCAAAAUGACCCCGUAACUUCGGGAGAAGGGGUGCCGAUGGAAACAUCGGUCGCAGAGAAAAGGCUCAAGCGACUGUUUAGCAAAAACACAGGUAUCUGCGAAAGCGAGAGCUGACGUAUAGGUGCUGACACCUGCCCGGUGCUGGAAGGUUAAGGGGAAAUGUCAUCGCAAGAGAAGCAUAGAACCGAAGCCCCAGUAAACGGCGGCCGUAACUAUAACGGUCCUAAGGUAGCGAAAUUCCUUGUCGGGUAAGUUCCGACCCGCACGAAUGGUGUAACGAUUUGAGCGCUGUCUCAACAGGGGGCCCGGUGAAAUUGAAGUAUGGGUGAAGAUGCCCAUUACCCGCGACUGGACGGAAAGACCCCGUAGAGCUUGACUGUAGCCUGAUAUUGGAUUUCGGUAACGGAUGCACAGGAUAGGUGGGAGGCUUGGAAGCCAGGACUCCGGUCUUGGUGGAGCCGUCGUUGGGAUACCACUCUUCUGUUGCUGGAAUUCUAACAUGGCGCCGUGAAACCGGUGAAUGGACAGUGUCAGGUGGGCAGUUUGACUGGGGCGGUCGCCUCCGAAAGAGUAACGGAGGCGCCCAAAGGUACCCUCAGAAUGGAUGGAAACCAUUCAAAGAGUGUAAAGGCAGAAGGGUGCUUGACUGUGAGAGUGACAACUCGAUCAGAUACGAAAGUAGGGCUUAGUGAUCCGGCGGUAUUGAGUGGAAAAGCCGUCGCUUAACGGAUAAAAGCUACCUCGGGGAUAACAGGCUGAUCUCCCCCAAGAGUCCACAUCGACGGGGAGGUUUGGCACCUCGAUGUCGGCUCGUCGCAUCCUGGGGCUGAAGCAGGUCCCAAGGGUUUGGCUGUUCGCCAAUUAAAGCGGCACGCGAGCUGGGUUCAGAACGUCGUGAGACAGUUCGGUCCCUAUCCAUCGUGGGCGUAGGAAUCAUGAGAGGAGCUGUUCCUAGUACGAGAGGACCGGAAUGGACGCACCACUGGUGCAACUGUUGUCGUGCCAACGGCAUAGCAGGGAAGCGAAGUGCGGAUGGGAUAAACGCUGAAGGCAUCUAAGCGUGAAGCCCACCUCGAGAAUAAGAUUCCAGGCAGCAAUGCGAGAGACCCCUGGAAGACUACCAGGUGAUAGGUCGUCGGUGGAAGCGCAGUAAUGUGUGUAGCUUGACGAUACUAAUCGGUCGAUAGCUUGAUUU
rnacentral:rRNA from 1 species